GCGAAGGUGGCGGAAUUGGCAGACGCACUAGCUUGAGGUGCUAGCGGGUAACACCGUGCGGGUUCAAGUCCCGCCCUUCGCACCC
rnacentral:tRNA from 1 species